AUUGAACGCUGGCGGCAUGCCUUACACAUGCAAGUCGAGCGGUAACGGGCCUUCGGGUGCCGACGAGUGGCGAACGGGUGAGUAAUGCAUCGGAACGUACCUUUCAGUGGGGGAUAACGUAGCGAAAGUUACGCUAAUACCGCAUAUUCUGUGAGCAGGAAAGCAGGGGAUCGCAAGACCUUGCGCUGAUUGAGCGGCCGAUGUCAGAUUAGCUAGUUGGUGAGGUAAAGGCUCACCAAGGCGACGAUCUGUAGCGGGUCUGAGAGGAUGAUCCGCCACACUGGAACUGAGACACGGUCCAGACUCCUACGGGAGGCAGCAGUGGGGAAUUUUGGACAAUGGGGGCAACCCUGAUCCAGCCAUGCCGCGUGAGUGAAGAAGGCC
rnacentral:rRNA from 1 species